AACCUUGAUAGUAAUUUUUGCAGACUGUUUCGCCACUUUGAGACUUGUGUCUUAUUUUUGCAGGGUCCUGACCUGCAUGAGGAAAGCUUGCAAAACAUUAUCCUGCUAUGACUGACCUCUUGACCAUCUGGGUUGCUGCAGCCUCUCAAGUUAUCCAGUGUAGCCUGAUGCUACUAAGGACCAUCCUGGCUGUCACCUCCUGACCCCCUCAGAGGAGAUGCUCCAAUCCUUGAAGGGAAUCCUCAAGAGACGAUGAGUCAUUUAUUUUUUUUUUCUUCUGAGUUUUAAACUCUCUGUAUCCACUAUGAGCUGCAUCAUCACCAAUAUCGUUUUUAAGCAUUGAGCUUAAACGUGAAAAAACUUUCUAGUUAAUAAAGUCAAAAAUAAGGAUAGAUUUGCAUUAAUACAGAAAUUAAUAAAUGUUCAUCAAUCUUUUGGCCCAAAAUGUCUAUUUUUAUUGGAGGCAACUCUAUUCAUUUUUCCUGAAUUAUUUAGUCUUCCCCAUCUGCCUGCCUCAAUCCAACCCCUCUAGCUGUGUUACAGAGCCCAAACUGUUCAUAGAGGCAAGUCUGACCAUCUCUUGGUGGUGCUGCACAAAAUCUGCCUUGUUCCCCUCUAUUAAAUCACAUACUAUGACUGGAUGGUUAGAGUCCAUUUCAGCAAAUAGAGGCCAUUGAGGCACCAUGGUUUGACUGCUUCACAAACCACAUGGUACUGACCCUUCGUGAUCUUUCCAGCUGGUAGUGAGUUUAUGGCACAGGUGUCAAACUGCAGGUCUUGAGGGCCAGUGUCCUACAUGGUUUCCAACUAGCUUGUCAUUGCAGCUUUUCAUUAGCAAAAAUGCAUCUGAUCAAGGUAAUCAGCAGCAAGAAGGGCCAGGCUUCUAAAAAAAAUAAAAUAAAAUAAAAAAAA